rnacentral:rRNA from 1 species
GACGAACGCUGGCGGCGUGCUUAACACAUGCACGUCGAACGGAAAGGCCCUGCUGGGGUGGGGUGCUCGAGUAGCGAACGAGUGAGUAACACGUGAGUAACCUUCGCUUUACUUUGGAAUAACGUCAAGAAACUGGGGCUAAUACCGGAUAUGAGCGCCUGCUGCAUGGGGGGGGUUAGAAAGUUUCGGGGGGUAGGGAAUGACGCGCGGUUUAUCAGCUUGUUGGGUGGGGAGUUGCCUAGCAAGGGGUUGGCGGGUAGCCGGACCGGGAGGGUGGCCGGGCCACAUUGGACUGGAGAUCCGGCCAGGACUCCUACGGGAGGAAGAAGUGGGGAAUAUUGAAAAAUGGGCGGAGGCCUAAUCAAGCAACGCGGGGUGCGGGAUGCCGGCCUUCGGGUUGUAACCCGCUUUCGCCUGUGACGAAGCGUGAGUGACGGUAAUGGGUAAAGAAGCACCGGCUAACUACGUG